AGAUGUGGCUGAAAUAGCCGAAUCCACUAAUUUGAAGGGGUGUCCACAUACUUUUGUAUGUAUAUGUAUAUAUGCGUAUGUAAUUUGUGUUAAGGGUUUAGUCUUUGAAUAGUGGAUUUUGCAGAUUCCCUUGGCCUCCUGUUUGUUCACUUUUGAUGCCUGGUCUUGCUGUAAAGAGACUGAUUAUUGCUAGACUUAUUUUUUCUUCACCAUUAAACAACGUAUUCAUUGACUAGCCUAACUUCUCUACCUUUGAAAGCCUCUGUAGAUGAACCUCUGAUCUUUUUUUAUAUAAAUACAUUUUUUCUAAUUAAGAGUAGGCCUAUGCAUUGAUCAAAUAUCCUAUGAUGGAUCAUGUUUUUCUUUUUGCAAAUACAUUUUUCAGCCAUUUUUGGAUGUUUUAUCUGUGGGCAAUUUUUUGUUCUUCCUUUUUUUUAGGAGAGAUUAAGAAAGACACUGCAUCAAGACUUGCUUUGCAGUUACCCAUACUUUCCUAUUCUACGGUCAACUACGAAGUGGAAGUAUUUAUUUUUAAGGACACUUCCACUGACAUUCUUAGGUGUUCCUCUGACACCUGUGGGAUUAAAAGGUAUGCAAGUAAAUGUGUGACUGGGAUGCACAGUGCAGCUUUUUCUACUUUUAUUAGGUGUGCUUGCCAUUCAAACUUUAAAACAUGUAGACCGGUCUGGAAUGGUGUGCUUGUAUACAGCGUUUUGAUACCAUUUAUACUAGAGCCCGACUGAUAUGGGAUUUUUGGAUCAGGUUUUUAGAGUGGAAACAUUCACUGAUCAUCGAUAUAUCUGUCUAUAUUUUUAUUAUUUAGCUGGAAUGAAAAUUAAAAACAUUUCCUGUAUGGAUUGUGAUUAAAAAUAUACUUUUAAUGUAAGCACCACAGAAAAUGUAGGAGCGCCAGAAAUAAUCUUUUUUUUUUUUUUUAUGAAAAACUGUUACUAUAGUGAAAGGAGGGUAAACUGCACUGAUUCCAGAAAAGAAUAGCCUAGACUCUGAAGACUGAGCGGCCUUAUGCUAGUCAGCUGGAAAACGACAGCUAUUCGGCCUUAUGCUAGUCAGCUGGAAAACGACAGCUAUUCGGCCUUAUGCUAGUCAGCUGGAAAACGACAGCUAUUCGGCCUUAUGCUAGUCAGCUGGAAAACGACAGCUAUUCGGCCUUAUGCUAGUCAGCUGGAAAACGACAGCUAUUCGGCCUUAUGCUAGUCAGCUGGAAAACGACAGCUAUUCGGCCUUAUGCUAGUCAGCUGGAAAACGACAGCUAUUCGGCCUUAUGCUAGUCAGCUGGAAAACGACAGCUAUUCGGCCUUAUGCUAGUCAGCUGGAAAACGACAGCUAUUCGGCCUUAUGCUAGUCAGCUGGAAAACGACAGCUAUUCGGCCUUAUGCUAGUCAGCUGGAAAACGACAGCUAUUCGGCCUUAUGCUAGUCAGCUGGAAAACGACAGCUAUUCGGCCUUAUGCUAGUCAGCUGGAAAACGACAGCUAUUCGGCCUUAUGCUAGUCAGCUGGAAAACGACAGCUAUUCGGCCUUAUGCUAGUCAGCUGGAAAACGACAGCUAUUCGGCCUUAUGCUAGUCAGCUGGAAAACGACAGCUAUUCGGCCUUAUGCUAGUCAGCUGGAAAACGACAGCUAUUCAUCGACUGUAGAGCUGUAGCCACUUCAUUCUGGUAGUUGUCACUUGCAAGGAAAAAUAUAAUUCACAAACUUUUACGCUGGCAUGGAGCUGCCUCUCGCCCCAAGUGUUGCCUCAGUGAACUGUCCUUGCUAUCCGGAAUCCUUGGGACAUCCCUACCCCAUUGUUUUGAAACACCAUGUAAACACUGAGAAUGUAAAGCAUUUUUUAUGUGUCUACCUGGCAUCAGUUUUUGUUGGUCUUUUUGUCGCCUUUUUGAACAAUGGAUUGUCUUCAUUUUUUGUACAUUGAAUUUAAAAUAAAUAAAUAUUUUGUAUUUUUGUUUCUUUUAUUUUUUUUUUCAUUUAGACUCUCUUAUCCAAGGCGACUUACAGUAGUGAGUGCUUACAUUUUCAUGGAUGUUUUUGUGAUAUUAAUUUUUCUGAGCAGAUGUUUGUCAGCCAUUUUUGGAGGCUGAUUAUUUAGUUUAUUUUUGCUUUUUUUCCUGGGAGGAUUAACAAACUUUUUAAUGAAGUCAUCAUACUUCUCCCAUUUGUGGACAGCCUAAAAGGAGUUUCUGUCUGGCAUACUUUGGAGUGUCUUUGGAACAAAAGGUGCUACGUCUCUGUGUCAACCGGCUGAGCAUGCGCCCCAAAAACGGAAUGGUUUUACCAUCCUUUCAGUCCUUUCUACCAUGUUGGAAUGAACUCUUCAGAAGUGAAUAGCCUACCUCAAAGCCCUGAAGACUACCAUGGUGGUUUCCAGCUUCAGCCAGCCCAGGACUUUGAGAGAGGCGUCAGCUGAUGGAAUACCUAGAGGCUACCUGUGUCUGGCCUCCAAGGGGUCUCCUGUCCCUCUCCUGCUCUUUACCCCCCCCCCCUAGAUGUCCCAGUGGACAGCUACACCCACCACAUCAGAGAAUUCCCUGUCUCUAUAGGUAUCAGCAUCUCAGGUGGGAUGGAGUCCAAGCUGCAGCCUAUGAUUCAUAUGGAGAAGAUCUUUCCAGGAGGAGCUGCCUCUACCAGUGACGUUCUGAAGGUGAGGUAUGAGCUGGUUUCGGUGGACGGUGAGUCUCUGCAGCGUGUGACCCAUCAGUAUGCGGUGGACGUGUUCAGCAACAAGGCCAAAGAUCCCAUGGUGUUCGUCGUCAAGAUCUCCAAGGGACCCCAAGAGCCCAGCUGACUAGCCCACUGUCAGGCUUACACAAGUACUACACACACACACACAGUACUACUGGCCUGUCUACAAGGAUGCUCUGAAGUGCAGUUCACCCACCCACUGGAAAUGGAAAUUAAUGUAAUGCUGGUUCAAACUAGAACGCAUGUCGACUUAAAGAGGAGGAGGAUUCCUCUAAUGCAGACGGUUGGCUCCAGCUAGGCUGCAAUGGAAAGGAAUUGUCUAUUGCCAGAGGAGAGGAGCAUGGGUAUCUCUUGACACUGACCAAUAAACUUGCUUCUCCUCUUGGGAAAAAAGGACAAUGUUUGUUUCCAUAGCAAACAGUAAAUACCUCCAAAAUAAAUGUUUUUACAUUUUAUGUUGUAACUGCAGUCGACAUGUAGGUCUACUGUGCCUACUUUGUAUAUAAUAUGUGAUAAAUACUAUUUAUCAUAGAUGGACUUGAUUAUAUGUAUCCCUUUUGUUAUAUUAACUUGUAUUUUUAGAAAAACAGUUUGUAAUCCUUAGGGGUGUUAUCUAGCGUUGUUAGGAGUCAGCAGCUAGCAAUCCAUAUUAAUAUAGAGAUCAUCAAGGGAAGGGAACUUAAUUUUGUGGAAGCAGAGAACAAAACACAUGCACACUUAACCACACACACUACCAAGUGCACCAUUCUAAGAAUGGCGCCGGAGGGGAUGGCUGCCAUUUUACGGGCUCCUAACCAACUGUGCUCAUUUACAAAUUACCUUGA